GAACGGGAAAAAAUCAUAAAAAAGGAAGGGACCCACCAAUUACGUUACUUUCUCUUCUUUGUUCCUACUUCUUAUUCACGAUUUCAACUUCAAGCUCAGGUCAAAAUGUCUGCAUCUAGAAGUUGUUUGAAGAUUCUUAGGUAGAGGGAUUAAAUACAAUGUUGGCACAUCAAGCAAUUUGCCUUUGACUCCGGAUGUUGCAAAUGAUGAUGAUUUCGAGUCCCCUGUUGUUAUUACAAAGAGUUGUCAACAAGAAACAAAGCGAAUCACCCGCUCACAACCGAAGAAGGUUAAGAAUAUCAAGCCGAGGACUAAGAAAUGUGGUCGACCUAAGAAAGCUAAAGUGAGGUUGAAACUUGUUGAUGAAGAUGAUGCUGCCAAAAAGAAAAGAAAAAAAAAGAGAAAGGUCGUCAAUGUUGUUGAAUGUAGUUCUUAUGCAUUAUCGAAAGAACAAAGGGAAUCUAUUCGA